rnacentral:lncRNA from 1 species
GGUUAGGGGUUUUGCCCCCAUUUAAUUGUCUUCUGCAAUCAACACCACUCUGGCCAUUGGUGGACACCUAUGGAAGACCGUAAGCAUCUCAUGAAAAUAUUCUGGAGCGUCAGUGACUGAUGAACACUGAUGGAGACACCCAAGGCACAGCAGGCAUGCUGGGGUCAUCUGGUCAGAAGCCAAACACUAUGGAUGGCAGAGCAAGAAGACAGACUGAUCCUGAUUCCUGGACAUCCUUGAGCAGCUGCUCCAGCCUACCCACCUCUAGCCAGUCUGCCACAUGUGAAGAAGACACUUCUCAUUUGUUUCAACCACUGAAGUAUUUUGUGUAGUUGUAUAUGUUGCUGUUAACGAUGGAUGGACACAAUCUUAAUAGAUAGCUAUACCUCUGUUAAUAAAAAUAUUGAAAUGUGAGUACAAGUGAUGUGAUGUUGAAAUAGUAACAUGUGCUUAAAUAACUUCAAAAUAUGACCUUGAUAUCUAGAGGUAUUCCAAAAAUAUCACUUGAAAGAAAGAAUUAAUCACAGUCUUUUUUCAGUGUCACUGCAAUGAAGAGGAGAUAUCACUGGAUGGAAUUCCUUGCAGCUCAUUCCAGGGGUUUCUGAGAAGAUUCCAGAUACUCUGCUUUAUUAUGCUUCUAGUGAAGCAGACUUUCACUUAGAGACUUGCUGUUUUGUGGCCAUGCUUUCUUGUCCUCUCACAUGAUUAAAUUGUUGUUAGUCACGGAAUGAUCUGGAUGCUACUGGCAAAAUAUAGCCAGACUCAAAAAGAAAGUGAUUGAAUAAAAGGAUGAAUCUGAAACAGGGUAGGUCGGAAGAGAUGUGGAAUAAUGUUACCAUAUAAUCUAUAGCUAGAUAUAGUCUCAACCCAAUUCUUCCAAGUCCACAGCCCAGUGACAUCCCUGGUGUCCACCCAGAGCUACAACAGGCAAACCUAGAACCUGAAGAUCUCUCACAGGGAAAGUUCUAUGUUGAACUUACCCUUGCAUCUCCGGCACAUAAUGGCACUUAAUAAGUAUUUGUCAGGUGGGUAUGCAAGAGGAUUCAAGAGAAAGUAUAAGCAUGGACAGAAGGGGUCCUCUUUGAGCUUGAGAAGAUCUUAGGAGGUAUUUGGAAUAGUAUCUCUAAUUUUUCAUUUAACAUCAGAAAUCUUGGCACCAUAUAACUUGGUGUUGGAAUUGUGUCACAUUCAAGAAGUACAUUUCAACAGCCAUAACGAGUUAAAAACUAAAUUUUGUCAUUACAUCUUUGGGAGAUCCAUAACUAAUCCACAACAAACCUACUAAAAUACUAUUUCAAGCUUCUAGCCACUUUCUUCACACAGCACAGUUGUUAAGCACUGCCCAUCCCUCUGCCACAAAGCAAACUUCCCUUCUCCUUCCCAUCUUCUCACUCAGCCUGUUAUUAUUAUUACGUGUUAGAUCCCCUUAGGAUCUCUACCUGCAAGAAAAAUUUCCUCAUUAGGAUGUUAAAGAAGGGGAAAUGGAGCUGGUAAUUUAAUUAUAGGAUGUCUUUUGUAAGAUAGGUAUGUGGGAAGUCUGAGUAGUCUCAUGUUAAUUUUGCCCAGUGACAUCAGUUAAAUUAUUUCAUGUCUCCAUGGAUCUCUUUUCAUGGCUAUAAAAAUCGGAUUCUAAUUGGAAUAGAACGUUUUAAAGAUCAAAAUGUAUUACAUGAAUCUAAAAUUGUUUAUUAAAGUAGCAAAUUAAAAAUGGAGUAUUUAAAAAAAUUUACAGCCUUUUUCAUUGCAUCUGAGUAAAACUUAAUAUGCUCCGGCUCUUCUUCCUAUUUGAUUGAAUGGGACCCUCAGGAUUGCAGAAUGUCAGAGCUGGAAUGCAUGAACCAUCCAUUCUAAGCCUAUUUUAAGCCUCUCACUUGAGAAAUUACUGAACGGAGGCCUCCAACGUUAAC